rnacentral:rRNA from 1 species
UACAGAGGGUGCGAGCGUUGUCCGGAAUCACUGGGCGUAAAGGGCGCGUAGGUGGUGGCUUAAGCGUGCGGUGAAAGCUCGGGGCUCAACUCCGAGUCGGCCGUGCGAACUGGGCUCACUGGAGCAUAGUAGAGGUAGGCGGAAUUGACGGUGUAGCGGUGAAAUGCAUAGAUAUCGUCAAGAACACCGAUAGCGAAGGCAGCUUACUGGGCUGUAACUGACGCUGAGGCACGAAAAGUGUGGGGAUCAAAACAGG